GGACCAAAGCUUUUCAAUUCCUCGGUUUCUUCCUAUCAAUCUAAAAAUACUCUCUUUUUAAAUAUAAUUUUUAUUAAACAAAGAAAAUUUUUAAAUACAUGGUCCAUUGGUGGCCAUCAGAUUGAACAAUGCAGGGAAUUUAAGUAUCUGGGUGUAUAUUUUUCAGACACUCUAUCAUGGAAGCCCCAUAUAGAACAUAGCAGAGAAGUGGCACUAAAAUCUAUUGGAGGAAUCCUCAGAUUUUAUAACACAGCAGGGGGCCAUCUGGUUGCCCCAGCUCUGAAAAUAUUCCAGAGCAAAGUUAUUGCCCAGAUUCUGUACGGCGCCCCAGUCUGGGGAUGGGACGAUUCACAGAUACCAAAAUUGGAGGCCAUCCAGAAUACAUUCCUUAAGAAACUGCUGAGACUCCCACCUGGCACUCCAGCAGCCUUGGUCAGAGCAGAGGUUGGUUUACCCUCCAUAAGAUCUCGCAUUCACUUCUCCCUAUACAACUAUUGGAGAAUCGUAGAGGAUUCCCCAGCUAGGGUUUUCCCAAAGCUAUGCUUUGAACAUCUAUCUGAAUGCAAACCUUGGAGCUUAAAACAUCAGAAAUUGCUGAACAUAUACCCUACCCUGUCUCAUGAGCCUUCAACCCUGAGUUCAAGAGAGAAGUUGCAUGAAUACAUUUAUAACCAAGGUAUUCAAAUGGACAGGCAGGCUAUUAACAGCUCCAAAUUCUCAACAUGGUACAAAUUAUACAAACUCGACCAUGAAAGGGCUAUGUAUCUAACCAACCUUACAUUCCCUAACCUCAGGCAAGCUUUUACAGCUCUACGAUUCCAAAGCAUGCCCUCAGCAGUGCUGGAUGGUAGAUACUCGGGCACUCCUUUGCCUAGCCAGAUAUGCGUAUGCGGGGCCUCAGAAAUUGAGGACCUGCCCCACUAUUUGUUUGCCUGCACUCUAUACUCUGCACCAAGAAAUAAAUUCUUAGGGCCCAUUCUAUGGUACCUACGAUUGAAUACGGUUGCAAAAAAGAUCUUCUACCUUUUAUCUGAAACCAACUCCACAAUCACAUAUAAGGUCUCCCUCUCUCUUCUGCAGGAGUCUACCGGAUAUCAUGCAGCUGUGGACAAGUCUACAUAG
rnacentral:lncRNA from 1 species